UGUUGAACGGAAGAGUUUACAAUGGGGACGCGCAGUGUUCAGACAGCGCUUUCGCUCGCUUUGAUUUUACUUGUGCAGCUCCACGGCGGUUUCGGAUGGAGCUGGUCGGAUCAGCCGGUUUAUAACCCAGUGCUGAUUACCCGAGAGCGGUAUUUCAGGCGAAGCCCACCCCACUCGCCGUGCAGAGAGCUGACCUGUCGCUGUUGGAUUUGGUCACCCUGGACUGCAGGAAAGACGCCAUGGUCGUGACUGUGAACCGGGACUUGUUUGGGAUCGGUUACCUGGUGAACCACGCCGACUUGAGCGUGGGGUCCACGGGUUGCUCGGCCACCUCCUCCGACAGCGUCGCCAACACGGUUUUGUUCAGCAUCCAGCUCCAGGACUGCGGCUGCACUUUCCAGGUAUUCCCAGACUUCCUGAGCUACACAAACCAUCUCUAUUACAAGCCUGCCAGCGUUGGCAUCAUCACCAGGGUUAAUAUGGCUGCUAUUCUCCUCGAAUGCCGAUACCCGAGAAGGUGGCAUGUCAGCAGCAGCCCCAUAAAACCAACCUGGGUGCCCUUCACUUCAACAGCCUCUACAGAGCAAAUCCUGGACUUCUCCUUGCUGCAACAUUAAGACCAGUUUCCCAUGUAUUGGAUGCUGAAGUUUAAUCUUCAAAUGGUCUUUAACCUCCCCUCCCAUAAUUUUAUAAUUGAGGGAUGCUGUGUGACUUCCAACCCUAUAGGGCUCGACCGAUAUUUUCAGCUUUUAUCAUAACUGGAGUAGUCCCAGAGUCUCCAAUGCCAUCUACCUGGGUGACGUCCUUCACAUCGAGGCUUCUGUUGCCGUCGACAACCACGUGCCGCUGCGGCUGUACUUCGACAGCUGCAUCGCGACCCUGAGCGACAACAAGGACUCUGAGCCCAGAUACGCAGUCGUGGACAAGCUUGGGUGAGAACUGGAGUUACUUCAAACACACUGGCUCAUGCCAGAGUGUGUUGACCAAUCCCAAUGUUUCUGUACAUGAGUGAGUAGAUAGUGAUGCUCUUGGAGUUGCUACUCCUGAGUCUUCAAUGGGUGUGGCUUCCCUCCCGCACUGUCCUGUUAACCCCUCUAUCUCUGUCUCGGACUCGGGCUCCUCUGUGCCUGUGCUGGCAGUCUCAGCUGUGGCUCUGGCUCUCUCCUGUGCUGUCCUGUUGGCUGUGUUCCUGAAGAGGCGCUCCCAGUCUAGUGACAAACUGCUCUCUGUGUCUUCAUGAUGUGUUUGAAUAAUUAAAGCCUUGUCAAAGCUAAUGGAGUUGCUCGGUGGGUUGUGUGAUUUGUUUCCCUUUUUAAUAGGGGGUGUUUCAUAAUAUCGAUGCUUGAAGAUACAAGUCCUUUUACCCAAACUGCACAAAGUGACAUCUCUUCUAUAAUACAUGCAAUGUAUCUAUAAUUGUGGAACUAUACUCUCAAUGCCAGAUCUUUUUGAUUCCUAGAAUCUGUAACUGAAUAUUCAACUGACAUAUUAAAUUGAACAGUGACUGCAUCAAAGUGUUUUAACUUGUACACUAAACUCCUUAUUUGCAUUUCCUGAGACUCUUUUUUUUUUCUCUUCAAUGGUUACUGUAUUACCCUGCUUACUCAAACAGUACUCUGUGUUAA